rnacentral:lncRNA from 1 species
GUUUAGUAUAAUUCAAAAUGUUAUGUCUUUAAAUGUAAUGUCAAAGUAUUUAAAGGAUUUGAGUAAACACAAUGAGCACUACCAACACAUAUUACUGUGGUGCAACCUGCAUAUAAACAACAGUGAAACUGUCCGACAGACAAUGAUUAUUAUCUUAAUAACUCACAUCUAUACAUGUCACUAUGAAGUGCAUAAGAUUUGUGCAAGUAGCAAUAUGGCACUCUGAUGAAGACAAUGCCUCUAGCAUCCUUCGUUCUCCUAAGUAUUACAAGAUAGAUUUUUAUUAUUUUUUACAGAAUAAGAGAAUUGUAUAGGGUUCUUGAUGAUAAAAUUAAAUAUUAC